rnacentral:rRNA from 1 species
GAUGAACGCUGGCGGCGUGCCUAACACAUGCAAGUCGAGCGGCAGCGCGAGUAGUUUACUACUUGGCGGCGAGCGGCGGACGGCUGAGUAACGCGUGGGAACGUGCCCCAAAGUGAGGGAUAACUUCGAGAAAUCGGAGCUAAUACCGCAUAGUAUCUUCGGAUUAAAGAAUUUAUUCGCUUUGGGAGCGGCCCGCGUCGGAUUAGGUAGUUGGUGAGGUAAAGGCUCACCAAGCCGACGAUCCGUAGCUGGUCUGAGAGGAUGACCAGCCAGACUGGAACUGAGACACGGUCCAGACUCCUACGGGAGGCAGCAGUGAGGAAUCUUCCACAAUGGGCGAAAGCCUGAUGGAGCAACGCCGCGUGCAGGAUGAAGGCCUUCGGGUUGUAAACUGCUUUUAUAAGUGAAGAAUAUGACGGUAACUUAUGAAUAAGGAUCGGCUAACUACGUGCCAGCCGCCGCCGUAA